UAUAAAUGUGUCUUAUUUGAACCAAGUGGGUAGUCCAAGAAUCCAAGAGGGGCCUCUAAUCAACCCAUCCGUUUCACUGGCCAGUAUGCAGUUGCCUACUUAAUUAAAAUUUUUAUUUGACUAUUAUUUAAAGGGUUUAAUAUGGUGAAAUCUCAAUUUUUAGACAUUCCCAAUAUGCAUGUCAAAUAUUAGCCAAUUUGAAAAUUUUCAAUUUUCCUGUCAAAAUGACCAAUUUCUAAAGGGGUUAACCUAUGAAAAUUGAUCAUUUUUAUAAUAAAAUUUUCAAAUUUUCAAAUCAGUUAAUAUUUGACAUGUAUGUUGGAAAUGGCUAAAAAAUAAAAUUUCUCUAUGAUAAACCAGAUAAGCAAUGGCCAAAUGAAGUUAAAAAUUAAUUUUACUUGAUGUUAUAUUUGUGUUGAAUUUUUUUAAAUUAACUUACUUUCUACAUACACGUGGUGAAAAACGGCUAGAAAUCCAACUAAAAUUAUUUGUUGUGUCCAUGUAAUCGAAAGUAGGCAUCUCGUACCAAAUACCUUUUUUCCUAGAGCAUGUAUUAUAAUUACCUUUUUUAUUUAAUUAGUCGUGUGAGAUAUUGAAUUGUAAUCCAACGCGAAAAAUGAUUGCAAAUUGUAGUAAGUGACUUAUUAUUUGGACUAAUCUCCGACAGCCAUUUCAACUAGAGAGCCCGAGACUUGCAAAAAUUUCCCAUCAAUUGAAACAAAAUGGCAGAAUGGUACUCUAGCUAGGCGUUUACUUCCCAACAACAUUUUCUUGCUACCUUCAAAGUAUGGAGAAAAUAAAAAAUGGAAUCUUGAGCAUUUAUUGGUUUUGUCUCUGCCUCCAUUUGGACAUGAGUUAGUUUGGUUCAUUAGAUCAUGCAUUUAAGGAUUACACAUCAAUUAGAUCACAGGUUGUUGACUUACAUGUGUGUAAGUGUGUUAUGAGUUCUAAAACUUUUUUAUAUUUUUUUCGGAGAUGGACAAGAUAACAUUGUCCUUAUAAGAGAUACAAAACGAAAGAAAUACAAUAUUAUUGGUGUUUAUAUGUGAGUGUGUUGGUUUUAAACUCGAUGUCUUCAAGUCAUUAGCACAAAACGCAACCAACAAUGCUAUUCCACGGGGAAUAGACCUUUUGAUCAAUUUGAAUUACGGGUUGUUGACUUUUGGUCAAAUUGAGUUAUCAAAUGAGCUCAAUUUCAACUUCAGAGCUCAACUAUGAAAAACUAUUGAAUUAUGGAGCCUAAUGGACUAAAUAUUGAUAGGUAACUGAACCAAAUAUAGACGUUAUUGUUGAAAAUCGAUAUAUAUGGAAUUACAAUUAGUAUGGAUUUACUAUAACUCAAAUAUCUCAUACAACUAAAUGAGCGGUACCAACUAAUUGUACUACCUAGUUUUAGGUCACUUCGACUGAACUGAUUGCUUUCACACACAAAAAUUGGAUCACCAAACUUCAACAAUUAUAACCUGAUUAUGAUCAUUGUAAAUGAAUAAUCACACCAUAAAAGUCGAUAUCCCUAAUCAUUUUCAACCUCCUCGAUGUCUUGAUUAGCACUUCAUUUUUCUUCCCUUUUUUUCUUUCUCUUCGAACUAUGUAUCUCACAAUGUUAGUGUUGUAAUCCCUAUUUGUUGACAUCCAUUUUGUGUCAUUUUAAUAAAAAAAUCCUACUCAUUUUUUAAAAAAUAGUCAAUAUCCCUUACCUGAAAUCACCUACGAAAAAUAUUUUUCUCGUAAAGGAGAACUGAGUUGACAAACCUCAGUAUUUAUUUUCUAUACGUUCACAUUCCAUGCCCUGAAAAACGGCAAAAGAUAUCCAUCCCAUCAUUGAGCCAAAUGGGCAAUGCUACUCCUCAACUUGUUGCAUCCAUGCUUGACCAAAACGUUUACUUCUCAGA
rnacentral:lncRNA from 1 species